rnacentral:rRNA from 1 species
AGGUGUCACGGGCUUUGACCCUCGUGGUGCCGAAGCUAACGCGUUAAGCACUCCGCCUGGGGAGUACGGCCGCAAGGCUAAAACGCAAAGGAAUUGACGGGGGCCCGCACAAGCGGUGGAGCAUGUUGUUUAAUUCGACGCAACGCGAAGAACCUUACCUGGGCUAGAAAGCACUGGAAGUCGGUCGAAAGGUCGAUGUGUCCUUCGGGAAACCAGUGGUUAGGUGCUGCAUGGCUGUCGUCAGCUCGUGUCGUGAGAUGUUGGGUUAAGUCCCGCAACGAGCGCAACCCCCGUCGCAUGUUGCCAGCAUUAAGUUGAGGACUCAUGNGAGACUGCCGGUGACAAACCGGAGGAAGGUGGGGAUGACGUCAAGUCAUCAUGCCCCUUAUGUCCAGGGCUACACACGUGCUACAUUGGCCGGUACAGAGGGCUGCGAUACCGCGAGGUGGAGCGAAUCCCUUAAAGUGCGUCUCGGUUCGGAUUGAAGGCUGAAACUCGCCUUCAUGAAGGCGGAGUUGCUAGUAAUCGCGGAUCAGCAUUGCCGCGGUGAAUACGUUCCCGGGCCUUGUACACACCGCCCGUCACACCACGGAAGCAAGCAACACCCGAAGCCGGUGGCCUAACCCUUUUGGGAGGGAGCCGUCGAAGGUGGGGCUCGUGACUGGGGUGAAGUCGUAACAAGGUAGCCGUACCGGAAGGUGCGGCUG